GAAAACUGACCACGAGUUUCAGGGCUGCCUGAGACCUUGAAGGCGAAGUGUUUACAAAUCAAAAUCCUUCUCCGUAGGCCCCUGGAGAGCAGGGCAUUUAAAAGGAGCCUUCCUCAAAUCCUUUUGCACACUGCGGAAUCCCUUUCGCCGGGGAGUGGCCCUCGCGCCCCAGCUGGGACACGCACGAGCACCCACGUGGGCACGCCUUCGUACGUCCGCACGCACACGCACGCACGUGUACGUAGUACGCACACAGACACCGCCAAGGUAAUAUAAGCUCGCUGGGAAAAUAAAAACCACUCGAACAGCGCAGCAAUGUAAAAUGGUCCCGCAGCCGCAGACGCAGGGUGGAAACGGACGGUCGCCGCCACCGAUUCCCGCGCCUGAGCUGAGGAAGGGGGUGGAUGGAAGGAAUCGAAGGGCUCCAAAGAAAAACCCCCGGAGCCAUCAGUGUGGAAGGACGGCAGAGUUUAGAGUCCAGCAGGGCAAGAUGUGAACCCGGAUUUUGUGACCCAGCAGCUCUGCAACCGUGGGCAAGUUGCUUUGCUUCUUGGGGCAUUAGUUCCCUCGGGUUUGGAAAACAAGGACCGUGAUUCAUGUGUGCUUAGAAAUGUGAAUUACAUUUCCUGCCCAUCUCUCCUUGGUCAGCCUUUCCCCACCCCCUGCCCCUCCAAGACCCCUAUGGCUAAUUAAUGGGAUUGGAGUGGACACCUCGUCCAGGCUGGGCAAAUCUGAUUCCCUCCCUGAGAAUUUCAGUUUAGGAUGAGGACACAAAGUCAAUCAGCUGUAAAUCCAUCCCGUCAGAUCGGGCCGCCCCGGGAGAGGCUGUGUUGGUGCUACAUGUAAUGGUGGGUCACAAGUGAGCAGAGAAGCCAGUUAGCAGAGAGAAGAAGGAAAGUGACCAAAGGAAUACUGACCCUCCUUAUCCUCAGCCUUUCUACUGGAGCUUCUCGCGUGGAUGUGGUCAACAGUUACGAUUCUGUUUGAUUGCCCGCGGCAGAAAACUCAGUCCAAACUACGGGAAGCAAAAAAAGAAUUCCCUGCUCGUAGGAAAACUUUCGGGGUUCAGAUCGGUUUCAACCACAACUUAAGGGGCCCCCAAUAAUGUCACCCUGGCCUGGUUUUUCUCCGUUUCUCUCCGGCUUGAGCUACACAUGACACGUUGGCAACAGCUCUGGGCUACAAACAUCCAGUUUCAAGUUCAUGGGCAAAGGAUUGCGAGAGUUCUUUCUCGGAAGCUUCAGUGAAGGUCUCAUGGCAUCUCAGUGGCUCUUGGUUGGGUCCCAUCCCUGUGCCAGUCACUGGGGCCAGAGGAAUGUGCCAUACGGAUUGCUCUGAGCAUAGGUCACGGGGCCUAUCUCUGAGCUGAAAUAGGCCGGUUGAGGACAUACGUGUGCGACAAAGAAGGUGCUCGAUGCUGAUUUCCCUUCCUCCUGUCCGUAAGCUGGUAGACUUUUCAAACAGUUCACUUAGGCUGAGAUCUCACAUCUUCCUGCCAAGCCGCCCUGCAGCCUGCCCUUUGGAGACCUGCAGGCCGGUCUCCUCGCUGCCUUUUGCACACUUGCACAUGACAGACCCUGGUCUGGAACACCCUUCCUGCUCCAUUUUCUUCCCCAAGCCUGAAAUCAAGGGUGGACUCAGGGUUCACCUCUUCCCUGACAACUUCCCAGGUCCUUCUGGCAAAUACGUAUGGGAGGGACUCAUACUUACGUUACAGAAAGAUUUUAUAGAAAACACUUUGCCUGAAAUCCUGGUAACCAGGAGGCGGUGGCUGUCAAUGGGCUUAAGGCUGGUACCCAGAGGUAAGAGGAUGGCAGGAACAGGGGACAUGGUGGCACAUGGGCAAGGUGGCCCUUGCCUGGAGCUUCCAGAUCCAACCUGGGUCUUGUCCCCUUGGAUGGCCCGUCUCCAGCCCCUCUGCCUCGAUCAAGCUGUUGGUGUCUCCAGCGUUCGGGCCUCAGUUUCCUCCUGGGCUACACCGGGGAACAAUCAGUCCUCCAGGCCAAGCACCGUUGCCCUACUCUGGAUCUCUGGAUCUCUGGAUAGAAUUGUCCCCUGGCCCUGGCUUUGGGACCCCACCCCAGAAGCCAGCCCCAGCACCGAGCCCAGCCUGGGCUGUCCCAACCCACCCUUGGGGAAGAGAUCAGGAAACAGGGACAGGGAGGACCUUAUUUCACCUAAACGCUCUUGUGAGAGCAGCACUGGGUGGGCAGUGGGGGUCACGGCUGCUUGUGUCACAGCAUCAGGUGUGCAAACCCGGGACAGGACACUUUACUCUGCAUCUCACUCUGUACUUCCUAGAUGAGAGGCUCAAAUCAAUUCACCCAACCUCUCCGAAUCCUAGUUCCUUUACCUACAAGCAAUAAAUCUUUACUUCCCUUGGCACUCAGUUGUCCCCUCCAUAAACCGGAAAACUUAUUUAUAUGUUCAUUUGCUUCUGAGCUCGGCAAGAGCAGGGACCGUGUCGCUCCGGUGCUCAGCUCGUAGUUAGACCUCAAUACACGUUCGUGAAAUAAAUGCAUGGGCACACUGUCGCUGUCAGCCUCCGCCUCCUGGGUCAGAGCUGCACCUGCAUGAGACCCCAGGGCAGGUGCACCAAGUUCCAGAAGGCCUGGAGUCCCAGUCUGCCCUGUCGGUCCCUCCACCCCGUGGUCAUUCUGCGGCCCCCUCGCCAGCCUUGUCCUCUGAAAACCCGCAGAGUCGCACCUACUUUCCCCGAAGUGAGAUUGAGUUUAGGUGAGAUCGUGGAUCCAGUCUUCAGUGGGGCUCUGUCUUCUCCCUCUGGUCCAGGCUCAGGCCUCUGUGCCAACUCUUCCCGGGGCAGGAGACCUUUGAACAUCUCCUGUGCUGCCAGUGGCUGGUUCUGGAAGUUACUGUUCAGCCCACGGUCUGUGGAGAGCCCCGGGGCCCCGGUCACUGGUUAAAGCCAUCCGAACCCAUUUCCCACUAUACAACCUGUGGUUCAGUCUGGCACAGCCGCCUUUCCAGAACCCCUGCCUGCUCCCCCAGAGCCCCUGUCUGCCUGUCUCUGGCCAUCCAUCCCUUCCCUGGGGGAAAGUCUCCCCUCCUGUUGUGCCCAGUGUCUCCGGAGCUCAUUCCCCAGCUUGGAGGGGCCCAUGAAAGAAGAGGCAGAGGUAGGUUGGGGCAGGAAGGUUGAAGGAAGAGUGGGAGCGCUCCCCGUUUCUCCAAAGCUAAGCUGUCACCCCCGGAGAGGGCAGAAUGACUCAGACACCGUCUUUCCCUAUGGGGCAGAGCUGGGGUGGUGACAGAAGUAGGAACAUGCUGGGGAGAAAAUGACCCCAGAGGCGGUGAGUUCCUCAGCACCCAGGUCCCUCUCCUGCCCUCCUGGUCUCGAGACACAACAGAUCUUUAUUUCCCUGUAGUUCACACUUCAAGUGGGUUGUUAUCUUCUCUUACUAAAAGUGUAAUUCGUUUGGGGCGCCUGGAUGGCUUAGCUGGUUAAGCGUCCAGCUCUUGAUUUUGGCUCGGUUUGUGAUCCUAGGGUCAUGGGAAUGAGCCCCAAGUCGGGCUCUGGGCUGACAGCAGGGACCCUGCUUGGGAUUCUGUCUGUCUCUCUCUCUCUGUCCCUCCCCUGCUCCCUCACUUGUGCUCUCUCUCUGUCUCUCAAAAUAAAGAAACUUAAAAAUAAGAGUGUAAUUCAUUUAAGGUUCUUUGAUGAUUAUUUUAUUUCUCCCAAGUAUAUUCCAGUUGAGAAGAUCAAUGCCAGAAAAUUAGAUCCAUUAACAAGUACUAAGCAGCCAGUCUUGAGAGGAGGGCAUUUAGAGCAAGAGAAACAGAAGAAGCAAACUCAGACCUGUGCAGGGAGCCCUGGCACAGAGAUCACACCCAUGCAUUAAGAGCCUUCGGUACUGAAAUUCAAGUUCCUUUUGGAGUCCAGAGUUGACGACUGAGCUUAUCAGCCAAUAAUGAGCCCCUUGUGGCAGACAGAGGGGACUCUGAUCUCACCCCUGAAGGCGUAUCUUCUCCCAAGGCCAUGAACCUGUUGAUGGACAGCCUCCUUGUUCCCCAGCCCCCUUCGAGGAGCACAUCAGCCUUUGCCCACAUGCCCGGGCAGUCGGAGGGAAAAAAACAAAAUGCCACUCCACCGUGGACCAGGAGGCAGGCCAGGAGAUUCAUCUGUUAGAGACCUUGCUGGGUGCAGACAGGGGCCCUGGGAGGGAGGAUAGAGACGGAGGGAGGAGAGAGAGAUUUCCUGCGUCCCCACCACCAUCAGAGGCUAUGAGAAGGCAAUGAAUUUCCAGUGAAUUUCCAAAGGGUGAGCGGUGGCCUCCAUGAGGACUGAAAGGUUAACCUUUCCCGAAGCUCAAAUAAAGUCCCCAGGACUCCCCGCCCCCCCACCCACCCACCCUGUGAUUAAUUCAGCCUGGUAAAGUGGUAUUUGCACUGGAAAUUUAAUCAUCAUUUCUGAUGAUAAUGAAAUUGAGAAAUAAAUGGAAAGUGUCAAGAACGGUGUUAGGCGGGAGGCGGGGGAUGACCAAGUGAGGUGGGGGCCAGCCGCCUGGCUCCACGGUGAGUGGUUUUAGAGGCCUAAGAAACUAGGAGACUUCCCGGUUCAUUAUUGCAGAUCAAGAACCAGGGAUGGUUGGGGUGCGGGUAGGGGUGUUGGGGGACAGGACAGAGGGCGUGGGCAG